GUCGCACUAUUCUCUCAACUCUUCCUUCUACUUCUGAUCUCUUCAAUGGCGAAUCCGUCUGCUCCUUAGUUUUUCCUGUUUGUCUACACACUUUAAAUCUCUCUCUGAAGCUUUGCUGAAGAUCUCUGUUUGUUUCGGACGAGCUGCGCAGGUACUUCUUCAUGCUUUAAGUUUCUGUCCUCCUUGGUAAAGUCGUUGUAUUCUGUCAACUCUUCCUUCUACUUCUCACCUCUUCAAUGGCAAAUCCAACUGCUGCUUAGUGUUUUCUGUUUGUCUACAGAGUUAAAAUCUGUCUGUCAAGCUUUCCUGAAGAUUU
rnacentral:lncRNA from 1 species